rnacentral:lncRNA from 1 species
CCUCAAUAUCCUAGCCAAUCCCACCAUCAUCAUCGUUCCAUUAUUGCAACCGUUCCAGACCGUAACGGGAAGCCUCGCUCUGGCUCUUCUCAAAUUCCUCCCUGCCCUGCUUCUCCAAUAUUUUGGGUCAAUUUCUUAAAUAAGCUACCGAAAUCCCCUUUUUCUCUGAAGCCAUGUUAACGACAAUCGAACCCGAGAACGCUUGGAUGCGGUAAUUGGAGCAGAUUUUCCUUGGCCCUUUUUCCUGUAACGAUUAUCGAGAACACCAAACUCAUCCAUUCUCACCGAUUAAUGGAGAAGAAACUGAUUUCUC